UAAAUGUAUUUUUGCCGCUUCAACAAAUUCUAACUGACCCACUGAUGUCACAAGAACUAUUUUGAUGAUGUUUUUAUUACCUUUCUGGACAUGAACAGUAUACCGUACAUACAUUUUUAAUGGAGGGUCAGCAAGCUCUCGGACUACAUCUAAAAUAUCUAAAUGGUUACUAAAAUUGAGGUCAGAUUUUUGAAAACGUGGUCAUCCAAAGUUCUCGGUACAGAAAAUCUGUUUUGUAUGGAUCAGAGUUAGACAUGGUCAUGUAAUAUAUAACAAUGUAAUAGCAAGUGUUAUGUUGUUUUUGAAAAUGCUCUGAAAAUGAAAAAAGCUUUGUUUAUCCACUAUGCUAUCAAAUGCUCUUUUACCUUGCAUGUUAGGCAUCCAUCUGCAUUAGGAUCUACCUUAGAGACACUCACUGGAGCUGUAAAUGGGAAGCAGGUCACUUACUUUGCAUUCGUCCUUGGUGGUCACCCAAGGGUCUCUAGAGUGAAAAUUACUCAAUCUAUGGAUUAAACAGAAAAUUUAGUUGUAUGAAGUGCAAUUUGGGACAUUCUUCCAGUUGUCGGCAACUUUGUGAAAGAGGCUGGAAACUUAAAUGCAGUUUAACUGAUUCUGCUUACCUGACUCAUGCAGAAUUCUGGCCUGGUGUUUGGUCUGUGCUGUCUUUGGCUCUUGCAUCUCCAUCAUCCUGACCCUCUUUAGCAGCCUGUCCAUGUAUUUAUUUGGAGGCCACCAU